UUGGUUAGAAGUUAGAUCACUUUCAGUGUCAUUGGGUGUUCCGGCUCUUGGUGGCCUUGCUGUUCUUUCUGUGAAAUUAUUAUUUUCCAUACCAUGACAGUGCAAAGAUACGUUACCGGUUAUUAUGACGACAUUUCUGUUGGCGUUUUGAAACUCCACUUGUGUACUCCAGGGCCUGCCGAUCUCAAAAUGGUCUUUAGCAGCUGAGGGAAGCUUCUAGCGAUGACGAUCUUCACAGUGAGAAGGUUUCAAUUGCUGCGGAGUUGGGUUAACACCAGUCACCUAAUAGACUUCAUCCUUCAAGCUUUUUUAUCGCAGUGUCAAGGUCUCACUGUGUUCAAGAACAUCACCUCGUCGCGUUUACUUGGCAUGAAGACUGCACAAGUUUUACCUUUUCGCCAGGAGUGAACUCCGAAUGACUGACAUGUACGUGCACAAGUAAGUCAUUUUGCAUAUAUAUUAGAGUUGUAUGUGGAUCACGUGGUUGUUAUGAUACCGUUAUGUGAGGAGGUUGGAGAUAAAAGGGAAGAUCUAUAUUUGAUGUACUACAUGCACCCCAAAACAUUUAUGGCGGAAUCGCCAAAGAGGCAACGCUGAGUGUUGAAAGUGUACUAUGAUAAAGAGGGUAUAAUUUUGAGGACGAUUAUUUAUGUUUUAUUUUUCGGGGAAGUGAAGCGUGUGUUAAACGAUGUAGGCGGGAGAGUGGCUGGUUUUGUGUAAAAGUGACCCUGAGACAAGAACGGAAUGAUUAGAGAAGGCAGAGAAAGGACAGUAGAUGUAUGGGCGAAGUUGUGGAAGAGAAAAUGAGCUGUGAAUUGGGUGUGGCUUGUUGACUUUUGUGAGAGCAGGAGUCAAGUUGUCUUUAUAGUCCCAGAAGAGCUUGAACCAUUGAGGCCCCUACUAUUAAAUCGGUUUGGCAGU